rnacentral:rRNA from 1 species
UAGAAUUGACGGGGCCCGCACAAGCGGUGGAGCAUGUGGUUAAUUCGAUGCAACGCGAAGAACCUUACCUGGGCUUGACAUCCCGAGAAUCCCCUGGAAACAGGGGAGUGCCUUUCGGGGAACUCGGAGACAGGUGCUGCAUGGCUGUCGUCAGCUCGUGUCGUGAGAUGUUGGGUUAAGUCCCGCAACGAGCGCAACCCUUGUCUUUAGUUGCCAUCAUUAAGUUGGGCACUCUAAAGAGACUGCCGGUGUCAAACCGGAGGAAGGUGGGAUGACGUCAAGUCCUCAUGGCCUUUAUGACCAGGGCUACACACGUACUACAAUGGCAGGUACAAAGGGCAGCCACUUAGCGAUAAGGCGCGAAUCCCAUAAAACCUGUCUCAGUCCGGAUUGGAGUCUGCAACUCGACUCCAUGAAGUUGGAAUCGCUAGUAAUCGCAGAUCAGCACGCUGCGGUGAAUACGUUCCCGGGCCUU